CCCAUCGUGAGAGAGAAGCUUUACGUUCGCAACUACCCUAAGUGACGCGGAAUCUCGAAACAGCUUCAGCGAAGACAAGCGACUGUAAAGGUGCAAAUUCAUAAGACGCUUGCUUCAGCGUUAGGACCAUGGCACACAGAAAAUCUUAAGCAGUAAGAUGUAAGCAGUAAAGAAAUCAACAUGGAUUUUUGGCAGUCACGUAACUUCGACUUUGAUGCUAAAAAUGAGCCGUCGGUAUGAAAAGGGCCGAGGGUUUCUUGGCUAAGAGAGUCGUCGAAAAAACGUCGGGAUAAAUGGAUAAGGAGAGGCGGUAGGUAAAACGAAGAGCGAGAGAACGGCGCAGAAAGCAGCGCAGAAAAGACCGAAGACGGACGGCUCGCGCUCCUGAGUAAGAUUUACAAAGCUGAGAGGGAGAAAUAAAUGUUCGCCGUGCGACAAAUAGACUCGAAGCAGGGAUACUGUCGCCGGGUGCCCCGGCGCAUUUUAAAAGGCAUAUUAUACAGUAGACAACCUAGAUUAUGUAUUACAAUGUCGUUUUAAUAAUACCGAGGGAAUUUCAACGCGGAAUUUUCAGGAUCUUGUUAUAAAUCUUCUUUUAUUAAAUAUUUUAUUAAAAAGCAUA